rnacentral:misc_RNA from 1 species
GAAAUGCGAUAAGUAGUGUGAAUUGCAGAGUUCAGUGAAUCAUCGAAUCUUUGGACGCACAUUGCGCCCCUUGGUAUUCCAUGGGGCAUGCCUGUUCGAGCGUCAUUUGUACCUUCAAGCUUUGCUUGGUGUUGGGUGUUUGUCUCGCCUCUGCGUGUAGACUCGCCUCAAAACAAUUGGCAGCCGGCGUAUUGAUUUCGGAGCGCAGUACAUCUCGCGCUUUGCACUCAUAACGACGACGUCCAAAAGUACAUUUUUACACUCUUGACCUCGGAUCAGGUAGGGAUACCCGCUGAACUUAAGC